GCUCCCCCAGUCCCUAAUUUCCCCAAAACCAUCUGCCUUGAAACAUCCAGCCCUCUCCUGUAAGAUUCGGAGGCGUAAUAAGGUCCAUUGCUCCUUAGAGACAAAAGCACGGCAGCUUGUUGCUUUAACUGGAGUUAACAAUCCCUUCAAUUCAAAUACAGCGCUGGGUUGGUUUAGAUUAAAGGUAAAACAAGUUUAUUAACAAAAAGAGAGGUUUUAAGUGAGUUCGAGCACAAGGGGAAAAGAGAAUGGUUACAAGAAAACAAAAGUAAAUUAUGCUUUCUCGUGUCUCAGCCUUAAUCAGCUGCAGCCUUGGUUCAAGAUAGAUUUCUUACCAACCUUUCUUUGCAGCCACAUCUGACUUUCUCUGAGUCAAGAUCUUCCCCAAAGUAGAAAGUGCUGGUUCUCUUUGUCAUUUUAGGUGAGAGAUCUUUGCAGGUUUGUCCCUAUAUUCAGUUCCCAGAAACUUCAACCCCCCAGGUGGAAGAACCCAUCUUUCUCAGUUUGCAAAGCUGUGGUCCCUUGUGUCUGUCCAGUGAUAGAGCCAGGAUGGCAGCUUCUGUCUCUUUAACCUUCCCAAACUCAGUAAUUCAUCCCCAGACUCAGACUGACCUCAGGCUGUUCUUCCCUUCCUGUGGACUGCCCAUCCCGCUGUUGAUUUGUAGGUAAAUAGGGUUUCCAUUGGUUUUGGUCACACCUAGCUUAAUUUCACUGGUGAUAGGUAGAUAGUUCCUUUUCUCCUUCUGGGAGGAGACGCCAUGUAGUCAGGUGAAGACUUCCUUCCAUGCUGGUGACAGUUGAGUCCUUACCUCCUCUCCUUCUUAGCUUGAUGCCUUUGUUUACCUUUUACGUAAGUGCACCUUCAUUGUCUCUGCCUGAAGCCCAGCUAUUCAGCCAAGCCGAUACACAUUCUAGGGCAGACUGGGCUUAUAUAUUGCUUGCCAAACAUUUUAAGAACAUAUUCUAGCACACAUCCAUAACUCUGUACACACCUUGUACACGCAUUACGCAAGGCCUGAGUUAUUAAUUUUCCAGUAAUUUGUUACAUACCACCUUUUGGGUAUAUAUAUCAUGACACCAGUUUGUAAAGUGUAGUGCGUAUGUCCAGCCUGACAAGUUGCUGACAGAGUAGUGAACCUCAAAUGGGUGUCUCUGUCACAAUGGGGUUGCAAUAUCACUCUGCCAAAAACACCUGCCACAAGUAUCCUGUUUAAAGAUAACGAGCACCACGGUAAUAGAGUUCCCUGACAACAAAUAUAGAAGGUGUCUUUUGGGGAUCAGAAGUAAAUUCUAGAGCUAUGACUGAUACAUAUUUUCAUUUUUUAAAAUGCAGUACAUUUGAACCCAAAGAAAUCUCUCUAGAGAGAAAUUGAUAUUGAGCCCAUUACCUCCAUGUGAGAGAAAUGUCUCCACCAUUAUAACUACCACCCAAACAAGCCAUCGCAUGUAUGAACUCUAUCCACCUGAUGGUCUCUAAUCUUCCAUUCACAAGCUAGGAUCACAUGAACCAGCGUCAAUCAGUGAACGGAGACUGUCAUAAAUCAAGAAUGAUACCUUCCUCAUUAAGAGAUCAGAAUGGCAAACUACAGGUCUUUCAAUUUCUGUCCCAGCUCAGGAAAGAGCAGGAGGUUUCAUUCCACUUGAGACCUAGUCCUAAUCCACCCAAACAAGAACACACGCAGCUUUAUCUAAUGAAUUCCAUGCAGCCAUGUUCUGAUAUCUUGUCAUUGCUAUUUACCACAUCUGUAAUGUUCUCAAAAGGUGACCACUAUGUAAUUAGGGUUAUAAACAGUUUUGCAAUCUCAUUUGAAUAAAAAAUUUCAUGCUCUGGGGCAUAAGCCAAUUUCUGACUGAUGGGGGUUAGGAAGAAGCCUAUGGUGGCUCCUGGCUUUGACCAGGAAUAGCUAACGCGUUUUAAUCAUGACUUGCCUCAGUCUGUGUUAGGUACUAAAAUGUGCUUAACACUGUGUUAGUGAACAUGUUUUCCAAGACAAUCCCAGUGUGGACAGGGCCUGAGUUGAUGGGAGAGAGUUUUAACUGAAUAUUUGUUCAGUUUGUUUUUGUAGGAUUUAAAAUGUGUCCAUGUGUUCAGAGCCAUGAAGGGGCGUGUUUCAGAUAAAUCUAAAUAAAGAAUACAAAGGAGCUGAGGGGCUGUGCAAAACUGGAAAGAGGCAAACACCAGAGUUAUUCAUCCAUAGCAAGGCAGACUCUAUAGACCAGGGUUUCUCAACCAAUGGAUUGGGACCCAAAAUUGGGUUGCCAGAACAUUUCGAAGAGUUGCGUGGCAGCUCCUGUCUUGCAGGGCUGGCUGGGCUCACUUCACUGCUGCAGGGCACUGCAACCUCAGGGGUCCCAGCGCCACUCAGGUUUGGCCCAGCCGUCAUGAUGACAGGAGUUAGGAUAGGCAAAAUUUGAGUGAGUGACCCUGCAACGCCAUGAGGCAGGUCAUAACUCCACUCGCACAAAUUUGAUCCAGUCGGGGGGCAGGGCCAAACCUGAGCGGUGCUGCAACCCCAGAGGUUGCAAUGCCCAGAGCGGAGAGUCAAGCCCAGCCAGCCCCAAAAGAAAGGAGUUGCCACUGUGGGGUGAGUGAGUGCCAGGCAGGACCCAACUCCCCUGACGGCUAGGACCCCACCCCAAGACUUAUUAACUGGGUUGUGGUAGGCCAUAAAUAUUUACAAAUGGGUCCUGAGUCCAAAAAGAUUGAGAACCACUGCUAUAGAAAGCUGGACUCUCGCCUCAGGGAAAUGGUGGAAUCCCCAUUGGUCCUGAUCCUGUAACAUGCAUGUUAAGUAGUAUUACUCAAGCAAAUAGUCCCACUGAAUGCAAUGGGGCCACUCCUGCGAGUAAUGCUACUCAUUUGUGUGUUUGGCUCAUAGCUAGUCAUGUAACAGCAGACUGGAAAAAACAGGGGAGAACAUCCUGUAGGAAGCUAUCCUGUCCUGGUAGGAGUGGAUGGACAAACUAAUCUUUCAUGGUGAUUCUAUCACUCGGUGCAAUCUUCUGGCCAGAUGUGAUGAAGUGGGAAUGUUUUGUCUGAACACUGUGUGUAUGCCUCAGUUUCCCCUGUGUGUUACUCAAGUAUCUAGGUGGUGGGACAAGGGUGUGUGAUCAUUGCAGAGACCCCAAGAGGGCAGGUGUGAUCGCUGUCUGGCUGCCUGGGCACAGACAAUAGCCGACACUGUAUCCUGGCAGCUGAUGUCUCGGGCCCAUCCUCUGCAAGGAUCAGCUGGAGGUGUUGAACGUGCAGGCCAGGUGACCUAUUUGCUGGGGAAAGAGACAAAGGAUAGAGGCAGGGCAGGGGUCAUGACUAAGGCUAGGCUGCUGGAAGCUGGUCAGUCUCCUGGUUUGGGACUCAGGGGCAGAGCUCUGGGCUCUGGAUUCCCCACUUACAGCAAAGUCCAUCUUGGAUGGAACUUCCUUCUUUCUGUGCUAACAAGAUCUGUUCUGCAUUGUGUUCCCGGUGGCUAAUAAACCAUUCUGUGUUACA